UGCUCCAUGUUUACUUCCGCAAACGCUGAGCACUUUUUUUUUAUGGCGGUUGGCGAAACGCUGAGCACAAUAUGUGACGUUACUGCGCAUGCGGGACAUAACAGUUCACACAGGAUAUCGCAUUUGGAUAUGAACGACCAAAAGAAAUCAGAUUUCACAAGAAAAUCGGAAAUGAGCUUUUUAAGCUCGCAGUGUGAACGUUGGCUUAGCCUGUUAUGUGGUCUCUAUAGUUAUUUAUUACUGUGUUUGUUUAAAUAGUUUCCUUUAGCUUUCUUAUUUUCUAUUAAAACAAUUUUGUUAAAUGAAUUCAUUUUUAGCUCAAAUUAAUCUUGAAAAAAGUUAUCUUGCUAAUCCAACUUCUGUACUAUUUUAAAUGUAACUUAUCACGCUUCCUUGAGCAGACUAUGCAAAACAUGUUCAAUAAAUUUUUUUGUACGAAAUCAUUCUCAGAUAAUGAGAUUAUAGUCUGAUCAGUUCUGCCUAUUUUGAGCUGUCUUUAGGGACCCAUUCACUUUAAAUGUCAAUAAGCUGCUGCUUACCAUGCCCCCAGAAUCAGCGUUUACACUCGCAUGUGAAAAUUACUGCAAACAGAUGCUUAACUGUACAACCGCUCAUCUUUGAAAAGCAGAAGUAGAGCCUCCUGUACAACCAACAAGGAUCAGCAAGUGGUUUCUGGAUGCCCCCACUUUGCCUCACUCACCAGAUUCAAUGCAUUAUGUUCAAAGGUGCUUCACGUCUCCAUGGCAACGCGCCUGCGUAGGAGUUGCAUCAGCGGAGACGGAGGAUCGUGGAGGUUCUGCUGUCAGCGUGGGAGGAUCCGUAACCUGCAGUCUGUCGCGUUCACACCUGGGAGCUGCCCAGUUUGACACCAGUCUGCUACUGGUGGUCAACAGAGAUGACUGGCGAACCGGACAAAAGAUGAGGAAACGUCAAAAACUCCACCUCAAAUAAAUCAGAUUUUCUAUAAUGUAUCUCAGCUUGACAUGACCUCAAUAUGUCAAGUUCAUCUAAAGAAAUAUCAAGUUUCCAAGAACACAAAGCGCUGAGCAAAUUAAAAUUAUAUAUUAUUUAAAUAAUGAAUGUAAUUUUUUAUAUUAGAUCUACUAUUGUUCAGUAAAUCUAGUAAAUAAAAAUAUUUAUUUGAUAGAUUGAAAGUUGAAACAAUAUAAUUUAACACAUUUUGCUCCAGAUGAUUGUUUUUCUUCCCACUAAUUUACCAGUUAGGAUUCAAAAUGAAAAUGAAGUUGAUUUUAAUCUGAGAAAUCAUAAUGCAUUUAAUAUAAAUUGAUAUAAAUUUAAUUUAUCAAGGGUGCUUUAAUUCUGCAUAGUACAACACAGAAAUAUUCAGCCUCUGAGAGUGAUUGAGAUUCGGAUCAGAACCGGCCCGCCGGUGGCUAUGUAACACUUUAAAAUGCAGCUUGACACUUUAGAGCAUCUGCAAAAUGUCUUCUGCUCUGUGUCAGCAGGAAGUCUUCUCUCUGCUGUAAUGGAUUUAUUAUCACAGCACAACACUUCCUCCUGCUGUAAAACAGAGAUUCAUAAAUGUAUCAUCAGCAACAACAACAGCGGCUAAUGAUGUCGGCUGCUUUCUGCUGGUGAUUAAAUUCUGUUUUCACGCUGGGGUUGUUAUUACAUAACAAAACUAAUAUGGAAAUGGGAAGUAUUUAAAUGUUCAUACUUGAUUUCUAGCUAAAAGGUGAAAAGAUGUUAGUAGAUUUACUUUCAUCUAGACUGUAAUUUAGUUAGAACAGCAGAUACGGAAAGCUGUCACUGUGUGCACAUUUGAUGUUUUUAAACCCUGUUCCAUUAAAUUAAUCUAUUUCCUCAAAAUUGUACACACACAUUUCCCAUUAUGAUAAUGUGCAAAAUAGCUUAAGGGAUUUUUGCAAAUUUAUUAAAAAAAAAGAAACACAAAAAAUUAUUCAGCCUUUCCUUAAAGGGAUUGUAUUAUAUGUUUUAUAGUGGCAUUUCAUAACACUAUCGAGUCACGAUGUUACCUACAGUUGUUAAUAUGACUUAAAAGAAUUUUUACUUCCUGAUUUAAUGUCUUGAAAUUGGGUCUCUGUCUCUUUAAAGGGCAAUAUUAUGUAAAAUAAGUUGUUUUGAGUUUUACAUCAUGU